CUGGUCCUUGGAGCCUCGGGGCUCACACCAUCAGCCCUCUGCUUCCUGGGCCUUUGCACUUGGCCCAGAACUUUCAUCAUUGAUGCGCCUGGUUCUCAGGGCUCCCAUUUGAACUGGAGGCUGUCCCGCCAUUUUCUUUGGUCUUUGCCAGCCUGCAGAUGGCAGAUCAUGAGAUGUCUUAGCCUCCGCCAUUAUAUCUGUCCUGUUCAUUCUGUUUGUCUGGAGAACUCUGACUAAUUCCAUUUCCUAAGACUUCCCACGGUGGGAAUAGACCAGCAAAGCAAGGAUUGGAGAACAGUGUGAGUGUGUAAAGAAGAUGCGAUGCAAACUUCAAGGACAAGACCUACAAGUUGCAGAAAGGAAGAAACAGCAUGUUGUUGGUGUUUUGUUCAUAGCUUAUCAUUUGCUACUUAAAUCAGUGGUGGUAAAUACUAUCGUGCACAUUGGUCUGAGAUGCAGUGAUGUGACCUCAAGCUGAGGAGCUUACAAAGAGCAGCACUCACAAUUCUGGAACCUGAGAAGUUCAACAUCAAAGCCCUAGCAGAUUCAGUGUCCGGAGAGCCUUCCUCCCUUGUUUGCAGAUGGCAAGUCUGGGUUGUGUCUUCUUUCAAUAGAAGAUACAAGGGGCUGGGGGCAGAGUUAUAGACUGAAAAAUGGCCCACUGAUCUCACUGAUGACAGCUUCAUCCUCACAGCUGAUGUUGGUGACUACAUUUCAGCGUAUGAAUUCUAGGCAACAUGAAUAUGGAGAUAUCAUUGCAGCAUGGAAUUAUCAUGAAAAGGGAACCUCUGAAAUGGAAAGCUUUCAGCCAAGUGUUUGGGGACACUGGCAAGAGCAACUGCUCACAACAUAGGGGUCUAACAUCUCUGCACUGUGCUCACCCUGUGUUGGUGGUUCAUUCUAGAGUCCAGUGGGGCAGGAAUUCUAUCAAUCCUCUUCUCUCUCUCCCACACUUGCUAAAUGGCCACAACCCAACCUGAGCUCCACCCUCAGUGCCUCUCCCAUGCCCCUCCCAGUUCUCUGCCCCCAAACUGUACUCAGUGCCAGUGUUGUUGAACAAUUUGUUUCUCUUCAUCAUUCUAUUCCCUGGCCGAACCAGAUAGUAUCAAUUUCCUUUCACCUCAUCAAAAUAGAAGUUGGUUUCCUCAAUAAUUUUCUCUAUUCAGUACUACUAGAUCAUGACCUGUGCUGGUUGGUUCCUGUCAAAUUGACCCAAACUAGAGUCACUUGGGAAGAGGGAACAUCUGUUGAGGAAUUACUUCCACCAGACUGGCCAGUUAUCAGGUAUGGGAACAUUUUCAUGAUUAAUAGUCGACAUGGGAAGGCCCAGCUAACUGGGCAGGUGGUUUAGCUUGUGUAAGAAAGCAAGCUACGAAAGCCAUAGAGAACAAGGAGGUGAGCAGCAUUUCCUACUUGGUGUCUGCCUCAGUUUCUGCCUCUGGGCUCCUGCCUCGACUUUCCCCUUCAUAAUGGACUAUAAACUGUGAAGUGAAA